rnacentral:tRNA from 1 species
GCCAUCUUAGCUCAGUCGGUAGAGCGGCUGACUUGUAAUCAGCAGGUCUUCGGUUCGACUCCGGAAGAUGGCU